rnacentral:rRNA from 1 species
AAGACCUUGUGCUUUUGGAGCGGCCGAUGCCUGAUUAGCUAGUUGGUAGGGUAAAGGCUUACCAAGGCUACGAUCAGUAGUUGGUCUGAGAGGACGACCAGCCACACUGGGACUGAGACACGGCCCAGACUCCUACGGGAGGCAGCAGUGGGGAAUUUUGGACAAUGGGCGAAAGCCUGAUCCAGCAAUGCCGCGUGAGUGAAGAAGGCCUUCGGGUUGUAAAGCUCUUUCAGUCGAGAAGAAAAAGUUGUGACUAAUAAUCACAAUUUAUGACGGUACCGACAGAAGAAGCACCGGCUAACUACGUGCCAGCAGCCGCGGUAAUACGUAGGGUGCAAGCGUUAAUCGGAAUUACUGGGCGUAAAGGGUGCGCAGGCGGCUCUGUAAGUCAGAUGUGAAAUCCCCGGGCUUAACCUGGGGAUU